GAUUAAGUUAUUAAGGGCGCACGGUGGAUGCCUUGGCACUAGAAGCCGAUGAAGGACGUUACUAACGACGAUAUGCUUUGGGGAGCUGUAAGUAAGCUUUGAUCCAGAGAUUUCCGAAUGGGGAAACCCAGCAUGAGUUAUGUCAUGUUAUCGAUAUGUGAAUACAUAGCAUAUCAGAAGGCACACCCGGAGAACUGAAACAUCUUAGUACCCGGAGGAAGAGAAAGAAAAUUCGAUUCCCUUAGUAGCGGCGAGCGAAACGGGAAGAGCCCAAACCAACAAGCUUGCUUGUUGGGGUUGUAGGACACUCUAUACGGAGUUACAAAGGACGACAUUAGACGAAUCAUCUGGAAAGAUGAAUCAAAGAAGGUAAUAAUCCUGUAGUCGAAAAUGUUGUCUCUCUUGAGUGGAUCCUGAGUACGACGGAGCACGUGAAAUUCCGUCGGAAUCUGGGAGGACCAUCUCCUAAGGCUAAAUACUCUCUAG
rnacentral:rRNA from 1 species